rnacentral:rRNA from 1 species
GAUGAACGCUGGCGGCGUGCCUAAUACAUGCAAGUCGAGCGAAUGGAUUAAGAGCUUGCUCUUAUGAAGUUAGCGGCGGACGGGUGAGUAACACGUGGGUAACCUGCCCAUAAGACUGGGAUAACUCCGGGAAACCGGGGCUAAUACCGGAUAACAUUUUGGACCGCAUGGUUCGAAAUUGAAAGGCGGCUUCGGCUGUCACUUAUGGAUGGACCCGCGUCGCAUUAGCUAGUUGGAGAGGUAACGGCUCACCAAGGCAACGAUGCGUAGCCGCCCUGAGAGGGUGCUCGGCCACACUGGGACUGAGAGACGGCCCAGACUCCUACGGGAGGCAGCAGUAGGGAAUCUUCCGCAAUGGACGAAAGUCUGACGGAGCAACGCCGCGUGAGUGACGAAGGCUUUCGGGUCGUAAAACUCUGUUGUUAGGGAAGAACAAGUGCUAGUUGAAUAAGCUGGCACCUUGACGGUACCUAACCAGAGAGCCACGGCUAACUACGUGCCAGCCGCCGCAGUAA